rfam:Coprinopsis cinerea okayama7#130 chromosome 13 cont3.13, whole genome shotgun sequence.
CCGACCUUAGCUCAGUUGGAAGAGCGCAAGACUGUAAUCGGGUGACCUGAAGUUCAUCUUGAUGUCGCCUGUUCGAGCCAGGCAGGUCGGA